AAAAUUGGAACGAUACAGAGAAGAUUAGCAUGGCCACUGCGCAAGGAUGUCAAGGUUGUAAGGAAGAAAAUAAAUAGCGAU
rnacentral:snRNA from 1 species